rnacentral:rRNA from 1 species
GAUGAACGCUGGCGGCGUGCCUAAUACAUGCGAGUCGAGCGAACAGACGAGGAGCUUGCUCCUCUGACGUUAGCGGCGGACGGGUGAGUAACACGUGGAUAACCUACCUAUAAGACUGGGAUAACUUCGGGAAACCGGAGCUAAUACCGGAUAAUAUAUUGAACCGCAUGGUUCAAUAGUGAAAGACGGUUUUGCCGUCACUUAUAGAUGGAUCCGCGCCGCAUUAGCUAGUUGGUAAGGUAACGGCUUACCAAGGCGACGAUGCGUAGCCGACCUGAGAGGGUGAUCGGCCACACUGGAACUGAGACACGGUCCAGACUCCUACGGGAGGCAGCAGUAGGGAAUCUUCCGCAAUGGGCGAAAGCCUGACGGAGCAACGCCGCGUGAGUGAUGAAGGUCUUCGGAUCGUAAAACUCUGUUAUUAGGGAAGAACAAAUGUGUAAGUAACGAUGCACGUCUGGACGGUACCUAAGCAGAAAGCCACGGCUAACUACGG